ensembl:lncRNA
CAGGAAUAGAGUCAAUGUUGGCUGCCUCCCAGCUUAAUGUUCCAUACCUUGGGUGAAGCCGGAUCUUGGAGUGCUUUUCAUUUACCUUCUUGUUCAAGCAAUCUGAAUCAGUGACAGAUGUCCUUCCAAGAGAAAGGCCAAGGGAGAUUUGAGACACAGAAAAUCACCGAGCAAAGCCAUGUGAAGAGGAAGGCAGAGAUUGGUGUGAUGCUACCACAAGCCAAGGAACACUUGUAGCCACCGGAGGUUGGAAGAGGCAAGAAAGGAUGUGCUUCUAGAAUCUUCAGAGGGAGCAUGGCCCUGCCAUGACUUGCAGAGGCAGUUUGGACUUCUGACUUCCCAAACUUCCUCCGUGAAGCUUUGACUUGGGAAGGACAUGUGUGCUUCUGUGAGCAAGGAGCAGAGACUGGGUGAGACAAGCAGAUGUGGAUCCUCCGCCUCGAAGGAGCCAAAUGGAG